rnacentral:siRNA from 1 species
UACCACUUAUGUUAUCUGAUUGC